rnacentral:rRNA from 1 species
CUACGGGGUGCAGCAGUGGGGAAUAUUGCACAAUGGGCGCAAGCCUGAUGCAGCAACGCCGCGUGGGGGACGAAGGCCUUCGGGUUGUAAACCUCUUUUAGUAGGGAAGAAGCGCAAGUGACGGUACCUACAGAAAAAGCACCGGCUAACUACGUGCCAGCAGCCGCGGUAAUACGUAGGGUGCAAGCGUUGUCCGGAAUUAUUGGGCGUAAAGAGCUCGUAGGCGGUUUGUCGCGUCUGCUGUGAAAAUCCGAGGCUCAACCUCGGACCUGCAGUGGGUACGGGCAAACUAGAGUGCGGUAGGGGAGAUUGGAAUUCCUGGUGUAGCGGUGGAAUGCGCAGAUAUCAGGAGGAACACCAAUGGCGAAGGCAGGUCUCUGGGCCGUAACUGACGCUGAGGAGCGAAAGCGUGGGGAGCGAACAGGAUUAGAUACCCGAGUAGUC